CUCCUUGCACACACCGCCCGUCGCUUCACCCGAGUUGGAUUUGGGUGAGGUAGCGUCAUAUUGGCGCCAUCGAACUCGAGUUCGGCAAGGGGGAG
rnacentral:rRNA from 1 species